CAGGCGCCUCCAGCGGACGGGAGCCGGGAGCCCAGCAGGGCUGCGAUUGCGAGCCGGGAGGCCGGCCUGCGGCGCUCCUUAGGAGGGUGGGACCAGCAGGAAGCGAAAUGGUUACUUUUUUAAAUGCGGGCUCUGGUUACUUUUGAAGCUCGCCGGCCGCGAGCGCAGAGCGGACACCGGGAUUUUUCUCUCUCGGGUGGAGGAUUCUGGAGGAACGCAGAGCUGGGGGGUGGGGGAUGCGGUGGCCUGGACGAGGCGACUCAGACACGGGGGAGCAGAGUCGGCGACGCUGGCGGGGACAGAGGGUCUCCGGGGAGCUAAGGGACCUUUUUGCCGCCCUCCCCCCACCGCGGCUGGUUAGGGAGCUGCAGCCGCAGCCAUUGUUUGAUGUCCUGUGACUGAGAAACUGGCCUUUUCACUUCAAUAGUAUGCCUUUGGAGAUGGAGCCCAAAAUGAGCAAGCUUGCCUUCGGGUGCCAGAGGAGCUCCACAUCUGACGACGACUCUGGCUGUGCCCUGGAGGAGUAUGCCUGGGUGCCCCCAGGCCUGCGGCCAGAGCAGAUCCAGCUCUAUUUUGCUUGCUUACCAGAGGAAAAGGUUCCUUAUGUUAACAGCCCUGGAGAGAAACAUCGAAUUAAACAGCUCUUGUACCAGUUGCCACCACAUGAUAAUGAGGUGCGGUAUUGCCAGUCGCUGAGUGAAGAGGAGAAGAAAGAAUUGCAGGUGUUCAGUGCUCAAAGGAAGAAAGAAGCACUAGGAAGAGGAACGAUUAAACUUUUGUCCAGAGCAGUGAUGCACGCCGUGUGCGAACAGUGUGGGUUGAAGAUAAAUGGAGGUGAAAUUGCAGUGUUUGCCUCUCGUGCGGGCCCUGGAGUGUGCUGGCACCCUUCCUGUUUUGUCUGCUACACGUGCAACGAGCUCCUGGUCGACCUCAUCUAUUUUUAUCAGGAUGGAAAAAUUCACUGUGGCAGGCACCAUGCUGAACUGCUCAAACCACGGUGUUCAGCAUGUGAUGAGAUAAUUUUUGCUGAUGAGUGCACAGAAGCUGAGGGUCGCCAUUGGCACAUGAAACACUUCUGCUGCCUUGAGUGUGAAACGGUCCUGGGGGGACAGAGAUACAUCAUGAAGGAUGGCCGCCCAUUCUGCUGCGGCUGUUUUGAGUCUCUCUAUGCAGAGUACUGUGAGACCUGUGGGGAGCACAUCGGUGUCGACCAUGCACAGAUGACCUAUGAUGGGCAGCACUGGCAUGCUACAGAAGCCUGCUUUUCUUGUGCCCAGUGUAAAGCUUCUUUGUUGGGGUGUCCCUUCCUUCCCAAACAAGGUCAGAUUUAUUGCUCGAAAACAUGCAGCCUUGGUGAAGACGUCCAUGCCUCUGAUUCUUCUGACUCUGCAUUUCAGUCAGCUCGAUCAAGAGACUCUAGAAGAAGUGUCCGGAUGGGCAAGAGCAGUCGGUCAGCAGAUCAGUGUAGACAGUCUCUUCUUUUGUCACCUGCUCUGAACUACAAGUUUCCUGGCCUAUCAGGCAAUGCUGAUGACACCCUUUCUCGGAAAUUGGAGGAUCUGAGUCUCGCCAGGCAGGGAGGUUUCGUCAAUGAAGAAUUUUGGAAAGGCAGAGUGGAGCACGAAACCCCAGAAGACCCUGAAGAAUGGGCUGAGCAUGAAGAUUAUAUGACGCAGCUCCUCCUCAAGUUUGGUGAUAAAAGCCUCUUUCAGCAGCCGCCCAGUGAGCUAGAUAUACGAGCCAGUGAGCACUGGAUAUCUGAUAACAUGGUUAAAAAUAAGACCGAGUUAAAGCAAAAUAACCAGAGCCUUGCAAGUAAAAAAUACCAGUCUGAUAUGUAUUGGGCACAGUCACAAGAUGGACUAGGCGAUUCUGCUUAUGGCAGCCACCCAGGCCCUGCAAGCAGUAGAAGGCUCCAGGAAUUGGAUCUGGACCAUGGGGCUUCAGGCUAUAAUCACGAUCAAACACACUGGUAUGAAGAUUCCCUGGAGUGUUUGUCAGACUUGAAACCAGAGCAAAGUGUUCGAGAUUCUAUGGAUUCUUUGGCUUUAUCUAAUAUCACAGGGGCUUCAGUGGAUGGAGAAAGCAAGCCGAGACCCUCAUUAUAUUCCCUGCAAAACUUUGAGGAAAUGGAGGCAGAAGAUUGUGAGAAAAUGAGCAAUAUGGGGACUUUGAACUCUUCCAUGUUGCACAGGAGCACAGAGUCCUUGAAGAGUCUAAGUUCAGAGUUGUGUCCAGAAAAAAUCAUGCCUGAGGAGAAACCAGUAGUACAUCUGCCAGUACUGAGAAGAUCCAAGUCUCAAUCCAGACCACAGCAGGUCAAGUUUUCAGAUGACGUCAUUGACAAUGGAAACUAUGACAACAUUGAAAUCCGGCAGCCUCCGAUGAGUGAAAGGACUCGAAGACGGGUCUACCAUUUUGAAGAGAGGGGAUCCCGGUCUCAUCACCAUCGUCGCAGGAGAAGUAGGAAGUCCCGUUCUGACAAUGCCCUGAAUCUGGUCACAGAAAGAAAAUACUCUCCCAAGGACAGACUGCGGCUUUACACCCCCGAUAACUACGAGAAAUUUAUACAGAAUAAAAGUGCCCGGGAAAUCCAAGCAUACAUCCAGAAUGCUGAUCUGUAUGGACAGUACGCCCAUGCCACCUCCGAUUACGCACUGCAGAACCCAGGAGUGCCUAGGUUUCUGGGACUCUACGGUGAGGACGAUGAUUCCUGGUGCUCCUCCUCCUCCUCCUCCUCCGACUCAGAAGAAGAAGGAUAUUUUCUUGGACAACCAAUUCCUCAACCCCGGCCACAGAGAUACGCCUACUAUACAGAUGACCUUUCGAGCCCAACUUCUGCACUCCCCACUCCUCAGUUUGGUCAGAGGACAACUAAAUCCAAGAAGAAAAAGGGACACAAGGGCAAAAACUGUAUUAUUUCUUAACCUAGUAGCUGUGGGGAUCAUGUUUAAACUGCCAUUAACCAUCUUGAAUCCUAUCUUUUUUCUUCAUAGGAAAGUUACUAAAAUAGUUUGAAGUGCUUUGCCCAUGUAAAUGAGACCCCUGCUGCUGUUUACAGUGUCAGAUUAACCUUUGGAAGGUGUGAUUUCUCCAGUUUGCCCUCCUUGGAUGGUGCCAGGUUGAUGCCACAUCUUGUGCCUGUCAGGUGCAUUACAGCCCUAUGUAGCGGUUUUGGUCUCCAAUCCUCAAGAGAAUCCUCAAGAGACUGUCAGGAGGUGAUUGGACGGGGGUGUUGAUUUUAGACAAUGGAGAACUCCCGCCACCUUUGUAAAGUGAUAGUGUGUGUCCUUUGUCUACACCAGGUUGGCCCAGGUCCUGAUCAGUCUGUCUUGUUGUGCGGCAUGCACGUAGUCACGCUGACCCAGCCAAUACUGUGCAUCCCAUCGUGUGAGGCCACCUCGUCCCCUUUCAGUUAGCCAGGUAAACGCUGCAUUGUAUUAGCUCCAGCUCCAGAUUGAAAAAGACGUUGCUAUUUAUAAUGUAGUAUUUCAUAGACUUAAGUGUAUUCCUAAUUUAACGGUGCAAAUAUUAAUGUACAUACUGUACAGUUCAGAUUUUAAAGCUGAUUAUUUUUAUAUCCCUGAAUUGCAAGACAUUUGUUACACUGCAGUGCUAGAUUUGUUGGAGAACCAGAAACAGCAUUUAUGGAUGAAAUGAUUGCUUGUAUUUUAGUCAGGGUUUACAAGCUUAGAUGGCCAAAUUUAUAUUGCCUAGUGAUGGAAAGUUCAAAUUUUUUGAUUUUUUCAAUAUUAAAAAGGCUCUGUAUGCAUGGUGGGGCUAUGUAAAUACUCUUUAAAACUAUGGCCCUAUUAAUAUUACGAGUGCUAUUUAUGGGUCAAGCAAUGUAAACUGUAUAAAUGUAAAAACAAACAAACAAAAAAAACCCAUACAUAUCCCUGGAAUAUAUGGUAAAAACAAGUAGAAGCUGUUUGGGUGAAUGUUUUUUUUCCCCCCUUGGGGAUGGUAGGGGGUGCCUUUCCCAUUUUCAACAGAGUGGUGAUUAUUUCCUGGGAAGAGACCAAAACUACAAGGAUCUGCUUUAGAGGCAGAGGACUUUGUAGAUUUAGUAUUUGAAGAGAGGCUAUUCCUUUCCUUUCCAGCUAACUUGUUGGCCUUUUUCUUUUAAAAUCUUUAGAGGAUGCUGUGCCACUGACUACUUCAAGUUUAUAUGAGGUUCUGUUUCAAGGAACAAUGAUCUUGAAUUUGAACUAAUGAGCUGAUAUUUUAUGUGCAAUUCUUGCAUAUACGUUUCAGUCCUAAGUAAGGUCCUAGUGGUACCUUGGACCUAUAGGAAGGUAUUUAAUAAAUGCUUAUUAAUAAAUAACAAACUACCUUUCUGAACACAGAUAUUUUCAAACAUAUCCAGGUAACUUCUGUUUAGCUCCCCUGUUCAGGCAUGAUUGCCCAUUCUUAUACCAUUAACAGGCCACCAUUUGACUCCUGCAUAUCCCCUUGUUCCUACUAGUAAGUGGGAAAUAGAACUUGAGGCCCAGAGGCAAAGCUGUCCAUGUUUACUGGACUGGGGAAAAGCUGUUAGGCCUUGGGGAAGGGGGAUGUGAAUCCAAGAGAUAAACGAGUAGUCUAGCAUCCCCUACACCCAUCCCUGGAGAGGGCAGGGCUGUGUACGUGGGAUGGACAGAGAACCUUCAGAAACACACAACUGGGGAGAGAGCCACUUACUCAACAAGUGUAUCAUUAUUUCCGUGGUCUGGUUCAUUUUAAAAAACAUAGCAGUGAAAAGGAGAUGCACGCACAUGUUAACAAAAAUCAACACACACUAACUCAAAAGAUAGUGGCGUAUCUCUUUUCACUCUUCAUCUCCAGUCCAUCAGGUCCCUCCCCAGAAGUAACCACUAUUAAUCAUUUCUAGUGUCCUUCAGAUGUUCAAAGCAUAUUUAUGUAAAUGUUUCUUUUAAAAAUGGUAGCAAACUAUACAUGCAUGCUUAGAUUUGCUUUUUUCACUUUAUGUGUGGACUUCCACAUUAGCACAAAUAGGUCUACCUCAUUCUUUUCAGUGAUGGUAUAAUACACCAUAAUCGACUUAACCAUGGACUUGAAUUUCCUCAUGGAUAACCUUAUCCUGCAUUGGCAUAUAUGCACAUAAAUUCUGAGCAGCAUAAUUCCUGGGACAGAAGUGACGCAUUUAUAAUUUCUUUUCCUCCAAAAGAAAUCUGCCUGAUCAACAUUUACACUAACAAUGUACAAGGGUGCUUGUUCCAUCACAAUCUCACAUAAACAAUUAGCAAAUUUCUUGCUUUUGAAGACCUUUUCAGAACCUGAGCUGCCACAGUGGGCAUCCUUUUAGAAAAGAAUGCUGUGAUGUGUUGUUUAGAAAAGACGAAUAAUAAAUAGUAAACACUGAUACAUAGUCUGGAGAAAUGUAGGUAUGAACCUCGCUGUCCUCAGUAGUUUUCAAGUCAUUCUCAAAAGAUUAGUUCCUUUUGCUUCUGGCAACAGAGGGUCAUGUAGAUUGCUAAAGGCUUAAGGAAAUGCAUAACCUUUAAAGCUUUUAACUCUUGGUUAGUGGCAAAAAACAAAACUAGCUACAAAGGAAGGAAAAGAACUGCCUUGCAGUUCGGUGAAGAAUUAGGCAAGAAAAGGAAGCAUAUAGUUGCCAACAGGUGUUCACAGAUUUGGUUAACAAGAGUGCAAAGUAUCUGGUCAGGUGGGUCUCAAGAUAAAUAUCAAAUGUUAAAACACUGUCUCUAAUCUCUAUACCUGUGAGACAGAACCCUUAACUGUUGCAUUUUCCUCACUUCAGAGCAAAUCGAACAUUUUGCUUAAAGCCCACGAAGGGGCACCGAGUAAAAUGUCAAUGGGGACUCCUUUUGGCUCUGAUUAAAAGAAGAAGAUUCAUUUUGUGUAUGCAUCUGCUAUACUUUUUGCUCUGCCUUCUAGUUCCUGAGUUAAAUAAAACGCACCAGAAGUAAAAGGAGGUAUCACUUGCUGUCUAGCCCUCUUAGAUACAAAUCAUGGGCCUUCUCAAAAUAGUAGUAAAACUGGAACGGGCACCCAAGGCUGCUAGAUUUCCAGGGAUGGCACAUGUCCCUGCCCAGCUGGUUCUUGGGUGAUGGGUCCUGAAAGUAUUGGUGUGGAUAAAUUUCAGGAGUGCCCCAAGGAUUUUAGCAGAGGUAUUAUUAACACAGCAUGGGCAUACUUUGGUUUCUUGAGCUCUUCUUUUCUAAUGGACACUUGACUACUGCCAUGGAAAGGAGAACGAGUGUUGCUGGACCUCCCUUCACAUUCUUAGAAACCAGGAAUUUAAACAUUUGCCAAAUCUCCCAGCUUCUAAAUGCUAGCGACAAAUUCAAACAUUUCUGAAACACUUUGAACAAAGUGAGCCUGCCAUUGGCAAAUCUCCAGUGCAUGGGUUCUCUAUUCUGCAGCCUGAAGGUGAUUCCCCAUUCCUCAGAGCUAAUGAGGAAAGGCACAACUAAUUACUAUUUACAGAAAUACUUGUGACCUUUUUUGAUGCACAAAGGAGAAAAACUGAGAUAAAAUUCUAAGAGCCUCAUUACCAAUUCAAUGCUGGUAACACAAUUAUGAUAAAAAUUCUUUUUAGUCAAAUGAGAAAGUUGUUAAUUGCCUGGUUCCAUUUGCUAGCCAUUCUUUGGAGUGAUCUAAAACGGGAGGUGUGCUUGUGCACAGUCACAGGGGUUUUCUGCUAACACAUUGGGAAGGUUCCCAGGUAAACUGGGCCAAGGAUAAAUGAGCAGGAGCAACUGAAUUUUGCACUUCUGAGCUCAAAUUUUUCCAAGGUCACAGAAUCAUAAACUUCACUAGGGGAAUGAAGUUUAACCGUAGCUUUCACAAAAUGGUUUGGGAAGCCUGUAUGGAACAAAAACAUUGGGUAUAUAUAGACUUGGCCGCAGGACUUGAGCUGAUUCCUUAUUUUUGAACAGAACCAGCUAGUUGGUGAAGUAUUCCCAUUUUAGGGAUCAAUUUUAGCCUCAGCUUUUCUUUUGGCAAAGGAAAUUCACAUCUCUUUACUGCUGUGUGUGCACAAGGUGCUGUUAUGUCAACUUUAGACGUAACUUGUAGCCCAUUCUCUGAAAGCAUUUGAUUCCAAACAACCAUUUAAGAAUAUGAAGCCAGUUCUAAUACAGUUGGGGAGCCUGGGUGACUCAGUCGGUUGAGCCUCCGACUUCAGCUCAGGUCAUGAUCUCACAGUUCAUGAGCUGGAGCCCUGCAUCAGGCUCUGUGCUGACAGCUUAGAGCCUGGAGCCUGCUUUGAGUUCUGUGUCUCCCUCCCUCUCUGUCCCCUCCCCUUCUCAGUCUGUCUCUCUCAAAAAUAAACAUUAACAAAAAUAAUAAAGAAUAUGAAGACAGUUCUCAAAAAUGCCAAUACUUGUCUUCGUGUUUCUAGAUAAACGAACCGAGCAACUGACAACAGAAAAGAUGGUUCCUAAUCUAAUACAAACCAUCACCAAGCUUAUCUUGCUGAGUGGUACAGAGCCCAAUGGAUGCCAGGAUUCAGGAGAUCUGGGUUAGGAGACACACCUCUCUCAUUACCUCCAGCAGGUGAAGUGCUCUGACCCAGUUUCUACUUCUGUAAAAUGAGAGUGCUAGGCCACCUCAAGGGUUUCCUUCCAGCUUCAGUAUUCUGUGGAGACUGAACUGAAUUUAUAGGUCAGAAAAGUCUUGCAGCAUAAAGUGUUUUUCCCUUUUCUGACUCUCAUUUACCAACAUUUGUGUCUGGCAAGGAUUCCCGAAAGGAUCUCUCCAAAGAGGGAGCAGGGAACUUUUUAAAGGGUUGGGGCUUUUUUCAGUUAAUCUAUUAAUUAAAUGCUUGGGACUCAGUGGGCAUGGGUUAAGGUAAAUCAGGAGGAAAAAGUCUGAGGAUGGUUACUUCCCUAUCCGUGCCUAUACUUCAAGCCGGCUUUGUCUUCAUCAAGUAGACAGUUGGGAGCCUACACAGAGUAUGUUGAAGGCAAGUAUUUUCUAUUUUCUUCCCUCAUGUUAUUUCUCUCCAAUUACUUAAAGUUUUGUUUUGGUUUUUCCCCCCCUACAUUGCAGAGGAUUGCUACUGGUAGCAAUCUUGUUCUUGAAUCUCUGAAUACGUUGUAAGCAAAGCUGAAAAGGUGUUAAUUAUGUUUAAUUAAUCUUGGUUCCCAGAAUGGGUGAGUUGAAUUACCAAGUUCCUUCCACUUAAAUGGCUCUUCUCAAACUCUACCAUAGGCCCAGGUACAGCGACCAAAGAGCUGAGUCCUGGGCAGCACUGUAGUCAUGAGGGUUCUAACCCUACGUGCUAACUGCCUCAUAAAAAUUACCCUGAUGAAUCUCAAGUGGGUUUUACAAAAUCGCUCCAAAACAGAAGUCAUAGGAACCAAUAUGGAAGGUAGUAGCAACUGAGGAUAAAAUGGAAACCAAAAACCUACUGAACUAGGAUUUGAAUAUUCUCAAGUUUUUUAAAAAGUUAUUUUUCUGCCUCACUCAUUACAUUACACAUUAACUGCACAUACAUCAAACAGCCAGUGUGUGCUAGAGUCAGGAUGUUAACCUAGUUCCAAAUGAACACCAAACCUUUCAUUUCUUCCAAGAACACAGACUCCAGAGUUGAAGGAUUUGGAUACAACUCUGCCACUUCCAGCUAUAUGACCUUGGGCAACUUAUAACUUCUCCUGCCCUUGAUUGUAAAAUGAGAAUAAAAUCUUCACUGGCUUAUUAUAUGUGCAAGUGUAAGUAUAAAUCAAAAAACACUAGACGGGUGGUUCUAACCUUAUUCAGAUAGUGAAAUAACUGAAAACUAUGGUGCUUCUCAGAAUCCUAUGAAGUAUUUGAUAUAUUAAACCUGAGAUAUAUUUUAACCGACAUCCAAUAUGGUACGCUAUAUUCUACUCUAAAGAAGUAGAAUACAAAGUUUAAAAGAAUAGGAAAUUUCUGCCAAAGCAGGGCUAGUCCCAUACCCUUAGCUUACCAAGCCAGCUUACCAAGGUGCGGGCAGGUCUCCCCACUUCAGGACAGGGACGGGCCAUGGAGGCCAUGGGCCUUGAAGAGGUCAAGCCACUCCAGGGGAUAGGAGAUGAGGGAGCUCCGUCUCUCCUCUUGGACCCUCAGCAGGGGGAGCAGGCUGCUCCUAUGUCAUAAAGAAAAUGUGAUUCUUACACAAGGCUCACCUCUCAAAUGAGUAUGCCCUGCAGUGUUCACAGACCACCACCACGAGGGUGUCAUCAGGCUGUGGUGGUGGGAGGCCAUGCCGGUGGGAGCCCUCAAACUGCUAAUGCAGAAAAGGAAAGGAAAGGGGAGGAAAUUAAAAGCUAGCACAGAACAGAUACCUCGGCCUGGCAAGCACAGGCUGUUGGCAGAGGAGGGCACCUGGGAUCUGGUGACAGAGAGGAACCCAGUUGGCCGUGCUGGGCUCACUUAAAGGUACUGCAGACAUUUGGCCAGUGUGUCUUUCUCAGGGGUUUGAUCACAAAGGAUGGACUCUUCCCACUUGGAGGAUGAAGGGACAGCACACUUUCUGGUCACUGGAUCCUCUCCCUUUCCCCAGGCAGCUUGUCCAGCCUUACCCACACAGUGAACCCUCCCUACCCUCAAGGAAAACAGCAGGGUCUCCGCCUUUCUACCCAAGAGUAGGGGUGCCAGCAGGUGCCCCCAGGAACUGGGCCAAGAGGGGCUUUCACUGAAGGUGCAGACCUGCAGGCUGUAUGGCCAGUCAGCCAGGGCAGCUCUGUCCCCUUCCCACCUUACAUGGAUUCCAACCAGGAAAAAUGUGCUAAUAACACAUGGGUAGCCUAGGCGGUGGUUACAUACCUCACACGUCCUCUUGCAGCAAGUGUCUGUGUAUGGAGUCGUUUUUUCCUAUUUGAUAUGUUCUCAAAUGUUUAUAUUUCAGUAAACUUCUACAUUUUCAUUCACACACAAAAAAAUGAAAAAAAACUUUAAGCCUUAUAUAAUUUCAGUGAUAAUGGUCUAACAUUAGCACACUAUUAGUCUGUGGAACAGAGCUCAAAAAACAAUGUGCUAUAUAUUAUCGGGCUGUCUCUACCGCUAUACAAAUGUGCAUCAGGCUUUAUUGAUAUUUGUCAUCAAGUGAGAUUUUAAAUACAACUUGGAAUUAACUCA